AUUGAACGCUGGCGGCAGGCUUAACACAUGCAAGUCGAGCGAGCGGCGGACGGGUGAGAAAUGUCUGGGAAUCUGCCUGAUGGAGGGGGAUCACUACUGGAAACGGUAGCUAAUACCGCAUACUAUCAGAUGUGCCCAGAUGGGAUUAGCUAGUAGGUGGGGUAAUGGCUCACCUAGGCGACGAUCCCUAGCUGGUCUGAGAGGAUGACCAGCCACACUGGAACUGAGACACGGUCCAGACUCCUACGGGAGGCAGCAGUGGGGAAUAUUGCACAAUGGGCGAAAGCCUGAUGCAGCCAUGCCGCGUGUGUGAAGAAGGCCUUCGGGUUGUAAAGCACUUUCAGCGGGGAGGCGUUACCCACAGAAGAAGCACCGGCUAACUCCGUGCCAGCAGCCGCGGUAAUUC
rnacentral:rRNA from 1 species